CAUUCAGGUGGUGAACGUGAAAUUCAGAGGACCAUGUUGGAGUUACUGAACCAGUUAGAUGGUUUUGAUUGAAGAGGAGAUGUCAAGGUGAUCUUGGCAACAAAUAGAAUUGAGAGUCUUGACCCAGCCUUGCUUCGUCCUGGCCGAAUAGAUAGGAAGAUUGAAUUCCCUCUUCCUGAUAUCAAAACAAGGAGGCGCAUCUUCCAGAUUCACACAUCCAGGAUGACGUUGGCUGAUGAUGUCAACUUAGAAGAAUUUGUUAUGACCAAGGAUGAGUUCUCUGGGGCUGAUAUAAAGGCAAUAUGUACUGAAGCUGGUUUGCUUGCUUUGAGAGAGCGCCAUAUGAAGGUGACACAUAUAGACUUCAAGAAGGCAAAGGAAAAGGUGAUGUUCAAGAAGAAAGAAGGGGUUCCGGAAGGGCUCUAUAUGUGUUAGGAAACUAUAUAUGAAAUAGUAGAAAAUAAAAAGGUAAA